CCUACGGGAGGCAGCAGUGGGGAAUAUUGGGCAAUGGGCGCAAGCCUGACCCAGCAACGCCGCGUGAAGGAAGAAGGCUUUCGGGUUGUAAACUUCUUUUGACAGGGAAGAGCAGAAGCCGGUACCUGUCGAAUAAGCCACGGCUAACUACGUGCCAGCAACCGCGGUAAUACGUAGGUGGCAAGCGUUGUCCGGAUUUACUGGGUGUAAAGGGCGGGUAGCCGGGCUGACAAGUCAGUUGUGAAAUCCGGGGGCUAAACCCCGUCCGGCCGUUGAAACUGGGGGCCUAGAGUGGGCGAGAGGAAGGCGGAAUGCGUGGUGUAGCGGUGAAAUGCAUAGAUAUCACGCAGAACCCCGAUUGCGAAGGCAGCCUUCCGGCGCCCUACUGACGCUGAGGCACGAAAGUGCGGGGAGCGAACAGGAUUAGAUACCCUAGUAGUC
rnacentral:rRNA from 1 species